AAUCAGGUAGGACUACCCGCUGAACUUAAGCAUAUCAAUAAGCGGAGGAAAAGAACUAACAAGGAUUCCCCUAGUAACUGCGAGUGAAGCGGGAAAAGCUCAAAUUUAAAAUCUGGCAGUUUAAUGGCUGUCCGAGUUGUAAUCUAGAGAAGUGCUAUCCGCGCUGGACCGUGUACAAGUCUCCUGGAAUGGAGCAUCAUAGAGGGUGAGAAUCCCGUCUUUGACAUGGACCGCCAGGGCUUUGUGAUGCGCUCUCAAAGAGUCGAGUUGUUUGGGAAUGCAGCUCAAAAUGGGUGGUAAAUUCCAUCUAAAGCUAAAUAUUGGCGAGAGACCGAUAGCGAACAAGUACCGUGAGGGAAAGAUGAAAAGAACUUUGGAAAGAGAGUUAAACAGUACGUGAAAUUGCUGAAAGGGAAACGCUUGAAGUCAGUCGCGUCGUCCAGGGAUCAACCUUGCUUUUGCUUGGUGCACUUUCUGGUUUGAUGGGUCAGCAUCAAUUUCGACUGUUGGAGAAAGGCAAGGGGAAUGUGGCAUCUUUGGAUGUGUUAUAGCCCUUUGUCACAUACAAUGGUUGGGAUUGAGGAACUCAGCACGCCGCAGAGGCCGGGUUUUAAACCAGGUUUUUUAAACCACGUACGUGCUUAGGAUGCUGGCA
rnacentral:rRNA from 1 species